UACGUAGGCAGCGAGCGUUGUUCGGAGUUCCUGGGCGUAAAGCGUGCGUAGGCGGUUGUCUAAGUUUGGUGUGAAAUCUCCCGGCUUAACUGGGAGGGUGCGCCGAAAACUGGGUGACUGGAGUGUCGGAGAGGUAAGCGGAAUUCCUGGUGUAGCGGUGAAAUGCGUAGAGAUCAGGAGGAACACCUGUGGUGUAGACAGCUUACUGGACGAUAACUGACGCUGAGGCACGAAAGCGUGGGUAGCAAACAGG
rnacentral:rRNA from 1 species